rnacentral:rRNA from 1 species
GACGAACGCUGGCGGCGUGCUUAACACAUGCAAGUCGAACGAAGAGCGAUGGAAGCUUGCUUCUAUCAAUCUUAGUGGCGAACGGGUGAGUAACGCGUAAUCAACCUGCCCUUCAGAGGGGGACAACAGUUGGAAACGACUGCUAAUACCGCAUACGAUCUAAUCUCGGCAUCGAGGAUAGAUGAAAGGUGGCCUCUACAUGUAAGCUAUCACUGAAGGAGGGGAUUGCGUCUGAUUAGCUAGUUGGAGGGGUAACGGCCCACCAAGGCGAUGAUCAGUAGCCGGUCUGAGAGGAUGAACGGCCACAUUGGGACUGAGACACGGCCCAGACUCCUACGGGAGGCAGCAGUGGGGAAUCUUCCACAAUGGACGAAAGUCUGACGGAGCAACGCCGCGUGAGUGAUGACGGCCUUCGGGUUGUAAAGCUCUGUUAAUCGGGACGAAAGGCCUUCUUGCGAAUAGUGAGGAGGAUUGACGGUACCGGAAUAGAAAGCCACGGCUAACUACGUG